UGCAGAAUCCCGUGAAUCAUCGAGUCUUUGAACGCAAGUUGCGCCCGAGGCUUCGGUCGAGGGCACGUCUGCCUGGGCGACGCAC
rnacentral:rRNA from 2 species